ACCUGGUUGAUCCUGCCAGUAGUCAUACGCUCGUCUCAAAGAUUAAGCCAUGCAUGUGUAAGUAGAAAAAGAUUUGCUUUAAAACUGCGAAUGGCUCAUUAUAUCAGUUAUAGUUCAUUUGAUGGAGAGUGGCUCUAUUGGAUAACCGUAGUAAUUCUAGGGCUAAUACAUGGAAAUGUCCACGUUGUGUGGUAUGUUUAUUGGAAUCGGAAACCAUUUGCUCUUUUGAGUAAGUUUGUGAGUAAGAAUAACCUGUUGGAUCGUAUGCCUGGUUGGUAACGAUGAAUCUUUCAAGUUUCUGCCCUAUCAGCUUUCGAUGGUAGUGUAUUGGACUACCAUGGCAGUAACGGGUAACGAAGAAUUUGGGUUCGAUUUCGGAGAGGGAGCCUGAGAGAUGGCUACCACAUCCAAGGAAGGCAGCAGGCGCGUAAAUUACCCAAUCCUGAUACAGGGAGGUAGUGACAAUAAAUCCCAAUGUAGGACCGUUGGUUUUACAAUUGGAUUGAGAACAACUUAAAAUCGUUAUCGAUGAACAAUUGGAGGGCAAGUCUGGUGCCAGCAGCCGCGGUAAUUCCAGCUCCAAUAGCGUAUAUUAACAUUGUUGCAGUUAAAAAGCUCGUAGUUGAAUGGAGACCGUUGCCGGUUUACUUGGAAGUAAAGGGCGAGGGUGUUUGCAGAGUCUCUUCGAAUAUUUAUUUAUUGUUGUAGGCUGUGCAGUUUUACUGUGAGAAAAGUAGAGUGUUCAAAGCAGGCGUUUGUUUGAAUACAUUAGCAUGGAAUAAUGAGUUUGCAUGUUUGUAAAUUUGUUUGGUUUGUUUACAAGGAUGUUGUUUAAUAGGGACAGUUGGGGGUAUUCAUAUUCAAUAGUUAGAGGUGAAAUUCUCGGAUUUAUGGAAGAUGAACGAAUGCGAAAGCAUUUACCAAGGAUGUUUUCAUUAAUCAAGAACGAAAGCUAGGGGAUCGAAGAGGAUUAGAUACCCUCGUAGUCUUAGCUGUAAACGCUACCGACUAGAGAUUAGUAGAAUUCUUGAAGGUUUCUAUUAGGAUCUUAUGAGAAAUCAAAGUCUUUGGGUUCCGGGGGGAGUAUGGUCGCAAGGCUGAAACUUAAAGGAAUUGACGGAAGGGCACCACCAGGAGUGGAGCCUGCGGCUUAAUUUGACUCAACACGGGGAAACUUACCAGGUCCAGACAUAGGAAGGAUUGACAGAUUGAUAGCUCUUUCUUGAUUCUAUGGGUGGUGGUGCAUGGCCGUUCUUAGUUGGUGGAGUGAUUUGUCUGGUUAAUUCCGAUAACGAACGAGACCUUCGCUUGUUAAUUAGUGAUUGGGUUCGUGAACCAAUUGACUUCUUAAAGGGACGCUAACCUUUCAAGGUUGGGGGAAGCUGGAGGCAAUAACAGGUCUGUGAUGCCCUUAGAUGUUCUGGGCUGCACGCGCGCGACACUGAUCUAUUCAAAGAGCAUGCCGUUUGGCUUUGGCUGGGUCGACAGACUUGGCGAAUCUUUUGAAAAUAGAUCGUGCUGGGGAUUGAUGCUUGUAAUUGUUCGUCAUGAACGAGGAAUUCCUAGUAAAUGUAAGUCAUCAACUUACGUUGAUUACGUCCCUGCCCUUUGUACACACCGCCCGUCGCACCUACCGAUUGAAUGAUCCGGUGAACACUUUGGAUUGAGCGGGUUGGCAGUCGCUGCCGCCCGUUUCGAGAAGUUGUGUAAAUCUUAUCAUUUAGAGGAAGGUGAAGUCGUAACAAGGUUUCCGUAGGUGAACCUGCAGAAGGAUCA
rnacentral:rRNA from 1 species